rnacentral:rRNA from 1 species
CAGUCGCCGCGGGAAUACGAAGGGGGCUAGCGUUGUUCGGAGUUACUGGGCGUAAAGCGCACGUAGGCGGAUAUUUAAGUCAGGGGUGAAAUCCCGCAGCUCAACUGCGGAACUGCCUUUGAUACUGGGUAUCUUGAGUAUGGAAGAGGUAAGUGGAAUUGCGAGUGUAGAGGUGAAAUUCGUAGAUAUUCGCAGGAACACCAGUGGCGAAGGCGGCUUACUGGUCCAUUACUGACGCUGAGGUGCGAAAGCGUGGGGAGCAAACAGGAUUAGAUACCCCCGUAGUCCCUGUCUCUUAUAC